GGGGAUUUAGCUCAGCGGCAUAAGCGCCUACCUUGCAAGUAGGCAGUCGUGAGUUCGAAUCCCCCAGUACUGC
rfam:Cavia porcellus supercont2_78 genomic scaffold, whole genome shotgun sequence.